rnacentral:rRNA from 2 species
UAGGGAAUCUUCGGCAAUGGACGAAAGUCUGACCGAGCAACGCCGCGUGAGUGAAGAAGGUUUUCGGAUCGUAAAACUCUGUUGUUAGAGAAGAACAAGGACGUUAGUAACUGAACGUCCCCUGACGGUAUCUAACCAGAAAGCCACGGCUAACUACGUGCCAGCAGCCGCGGUAAUACGUAGGUGGCAAGCGUUGUCCGGAUUUAUUGGGCGUAAAGCGAGCGCAGGCGGUUUCUUAAGUCUGAUGUGAAAGCCCCCGGCUCAACCGGGGAGGGUCAUUGGAAACUGGGAGACUUGAGUGCAGAAGAGGAGAGUGGAAUUCCAUGUGUAGCGGUGAAAUGCGUAGAUAUAUGGAGGAACACCAGUGGCGAAGGCGGCUCUCUGGUCUGUAACUGACGCUGAGGCUCGAAAGCGUGGGGAGCAAACCGG